AUUCACGCUGAGGUCCUCAAAACUGAGGGGCAUUUUCUGUGGUCUAAAAGGAAAAUGCACCCCAGUUUUGUGGUUCUCAAUUGUGAAU
rnacentral:pre_miRNA from 1 species